AAUGAACGUUGGCAGCGUGGAUUAGGCAUGCAAGUCGAGCGACAAGGUCCUUCGGACUGGAGGAGCGGCAAACGGGGUAGGUAAUACAUCGGAACGUACCCUCACGUCUGGGAUAGCCACGGGAAACUAGUGGGUAAUACUGGAUAAUCUCACCACUUGUGAAGAGUGGUGAGCAAAGGUACCGCCGCGUGAGGAGCGGCCGAUGCGAUACUAGAUAGUUGGUGGGGUAAUGGCCUACCAAGUCUAAGAUGUCUAGGGGGUGUGAGAGCAUGGCCCCCACCACUGGGACUGAGACACUGCCCAGACACCUACGGGUGGCUGCAGUCGAGAAUCUUUGGCAAUGGGCGCAAGCCUGACCAAGCGACGCUGCGUGCGGGA
rnacentral:rRNA from 1 species